AGUGGCAAACGGGUGAGUAACACGUGGGAAUCUACCCAUCAGUACGGAAUAGCACUUGGAAACGGGUGGUAAUACCGUAUAUUCUCUACGGAGGAAAGAUUUAUCGCUGAUGGAUGAGCCCGCGCCUGAUUAGGUAGUUGGUAGGGUAAUGGCCUACCAAGCCGACGAUCAGUAGCUGGUCUGAGAGGAUGAUCAGCCACACUGGAACUUAGAUACGGUCCAGACUCCUACGGGGGGCAGCAGUGGGGAAUAUUGGACAAUGGGCGCAAGCCUGAUCCAGCAAUGCCGCGUGAAUGAUGAAGGCCUUAGGGUUGUAAAGUUCUUUUAGCAGGGAGGAUAAUGACGAUACCUGCAGAAAAAGCCCCGGCUAACUUCGUGCCAGCAGCCGCGGUAAGACGAAGGGGGCUAGCGUUGUUCGGAAUUACUGGGCGUAAAGAGCGCGUAGGUGGUUUGAUAAGUUGGGAGUGAAAGCCCGGGGCUUAACCUCGGAACUGCUUCCAAAACUGUCAGGCUAGAGUGUAGUAGGGGAUGAUGGAAUUCCUAGUGUAGAGGUGAAAUUCUUAGAUAUUAGGAGGAACACCGGUGGCGAAGGCGGUCAUCUGGGCUACAACUGACACUGAGGCGCGAAAGCGUGGGGAGCAAACAGGAUUAGAUACCCUGGUAGUCCACGCCCUAAACGAUGAGUGCUAGAUAUC
rnacentral:rRNA from 1 species